UUGAUACUGAUAGUGUGUAUCAAUGUUAUUAUGUGUUUAUUACAUUCUUACGAAAGUAUUCCCUACUAAAUUAAGUUGAUAAAAUGGACAGUUGUCUUUCAUUUUUUAUGUUGAGAAUCACAACAAUCCCUUUUCCUACAUUU